AACAGGAUUAGAUACCCUGGUAGUCCACGCCGUAAACGAUGUCGACUUGGAGGUUGUGCCCUUGAGGCGUGGCUUCCGGAGCUAACGCGUUAAGUCGACCGCCUGGGGAGUACGGCCGCAAGGUUAAAACUCAAAUGAAUUGACGGGGGCCCGCACAAGCGGUGGAGCAUGUGGUUUAAUUCGAUGCAACGCGAAGAACCUUACCUACUCUUGACAUCCAGAGAACUUAGCAGAGAUGCUUCGGUGCCUUCGGGAACUCUGAGACAGGUGCUGCAUGGCUGUCGUCAGCUCGUGUUGUGAAAUGUUGGGUUAAGUCCCGCAACGAGCGCAACCCUUAUCCUUUGUUGCCAGCGGUUAGGCCGGGAACUCAAAGGAGACUGCCAGUGAUAAACUGGAGGAAGGUGGGGAUGACGUCAAGUCAUCAUGGCCCUUACGAGUAGGGCUACACACGUGCUACAAUGGCAUAUACAAAGAGAAGCGACCUCGCGAGAGCAAGCGGACCUCAUAAAGUAUGUCGUAGUCCGGAUUGGAGUCUGCAACUCGACUCCAUGAAGUCGGAAUCGCUAGUAAUCGUGGAUCAGAAUGCCACGGUGAAUACGUUCCCGGGCCUUGUACACACCGCCCGUCACACCAUGGGAGUGGGUUGCAAAAGAAGUAGGUAGCUUAACCUUCGGGAGGGCGCUUACCACGGUAGGAUUCGUGACUGGGGUGAAGUCGUAACAAGGUAACC
rnacentral:rRNA from 1 species